CACGUAGGGGACGAGCGUUGUCCGGAUUCAUUGGGCGUAAAGCGCGCGUAGGCGGCCCGGCAAGUCGGAUGUGAAAACCUGGGGCUCAACCCCAGGCGUGCACCCGAUACUCCCGGGCUGGAGGCAGGUAGGGGAGAUCGGAAUUCCUGGUGUAGCGGUGAAAUGCGCAGAUAUCGGGAGGAAUACCUAUGGCGAAAGCAGGCUACUGGACCACCACUGACGCUGAUCUGCGAAAGCUAGGGGAGCAAACAGG
rnacentral:rRNA from 1 species